rnacentral:tRNA from 2 species
GGACCUGUAGCUCAAAGGUAGAGCGGCCGCCUUUUAAGCGGCUCCAUGGAGGUUCGACUCCUCUCAGGUCCU